rnacentral:rRNA from 1 species
UGGGGAAUAUUGCACAAUGGGCGCAAGCCUGAUGCAGCCAUGCCGCGUGUGUGAAGAAGGCCUUCGGGUUGUAAAGCACUUUCAGCGAGGAGGAAGGGUUCAGUGUUAAUAGCACUGUUCAUUGACGUUACUCGCAGAAGAAGCACCGGCUAACUCCGUGCCAGCAGCCGCGGUAAUACGGAGGGUGCAAGCGUUAAUCGGAAUUACUGGGCGUAAAGCGCACGCAGGCGGUUUGUUAAGUCAGAUGUGAAAUCCCGCGCUUAACGUGGAACU